GUGCUCACUUCAGCAGCACAUAUACUAAAAUUGGAAUGAUGCAGAGAAGAUUAGCAUGACCCAAGGAUGCGCAAGGAUGACAUGCAAAUUUGUGAAGCAUUCCGUAUUUUU
ensembl:snRNA U6 U6 spliceosomal RNA